rnacentral:miRNA from 2 species
UGAGCCAAGGAUGACUUGCCU